rnacentral:rRNA from 1 species
UACGGAGGAUGCGAGCGUUAUCCGGAUUUAUUGGGUUUAAAGGGUGCGUAGGCGGGCUUUUAAGUCAGCGGUAAAAAUUCGGGGCUCAACCCCGUCCGGCCGUUGAAACUGGGGGCCUUGAGUGGGCGAGAAGAAGGCAGAAUGCGUGGUGUAGCGGUGAAAUGCAUAGAUAUCACGCAGAACCCCGAUUGCGAAGGCAGCCUUCCGGCGCCCUACUGACGCUGAGGCACGAAAGUGCGGGGAUCGAACAGG